AACAGGAUUAGAUACCCUGGUAGUCCACGCCCUAAACGAUGUCUACUAGUUGUCGGGUCUUAAUUGACUUGGUAACGCAGCUAACGCGUGAAGUAGACCGCCUGGGGAGUACGGUCGCAAGAUUAAAACUCAAAGGAAUUGACGGGGACCCGCACAAGCGGUGGAUGAUGUGGAUUAAUUCGAUGCAACGCGAAAAACCUUACCUACCCUUGACAUGGCUGGAAUCCUUGAGAGAUCAGGGAGUGCUCGAAAGAGAACCAGUACACAGGUGCUGCAUGGCUGUCGACAGCUCGUGUCGUGAGAUGUUGGGUUAAGUCCCGCAACGAGCGCAACCCUUGUCAUUAGUUGCUACGAAAGGGCACUCUAAUGAGACUGCCAGUGACAAACCGGAGGAAGGUGGGGAUGACGUCAAGUCCUCAUGGCCCUUAUGGGUAGGGCUUCACACGUCAUACAAUGGUACAUACAGAGCGCCGCCAACCCGCGAGGGGGAGAUAAUCGCAGAAAGUGUAUCGUAGUCCGGAUUGUAGUCUGCAACUCGACUGCAUGAAGUUGGAAUCGCUAGUAAUCGCGGAUCAGCAUGUCGCGGUGAAUACGUUCCCGGGUCUUGUACACACCGCCCGUCACACCAUGGGAGCGGGUUUUACCAGAAGUAGGUAGCUUAACCGUAAGGAGGGCGCUUACCACGGUAGGAUUCGUGACUGGGGUGAAGUCGUAACAAGGUAACC
rnacentral:rRNA from 1 species